AUUUUCUCAAACACAUUACACACACAAGUCAAAUCAGCGCUGUUAUUUUCCGUUUUUUCGACUGUUUUCCGUACCUUGGGAGACAUUAUGCUUUGUGGGUGUGUUGUCGGAGGGUGUAACAACACGAACGGGGACGGAUUCAAGUUGACUUACGUGAAGUGUGCUAAUCAGACAUAUCAAUGGUUACGGCAUGCUAAUCGAUGCUAACAUGCUAUUUAGGCUAGCUGUAUGUACAUAUUGCAUCAUUAUGUCUCAUUUGUAGCUAUAUUUGCAUCCAGCCUUUCCCUCCACCCACAUUUCAUGACAAACAAACAAACACCAAUCGAAGGAUUCAAGUUGCACCAGUGGUUAAAGGGGAACAUUAUCACCAGACCUAUGUAAGCGUCAAUAUAUACCUUGAUGUUGCAGAAAAAGACCAUAUAUUUUUUUAACCGAUUUGCGAACUCUAAAUGGGUGAAUUUUGGCGAAUUAAACGCUCUUAGAUCGAUGACGUCAGAACGUAACGCCACCUAGGUAAUAAAGCCGCCAUUUUCUCAAACACAUUACAAACACAGCAUCUCAGCUCUGUUAUUUUCCGUUUUUUCGACUAUUUUCUGGAACCUUGGAGACAUCAUGCCUCGUCGGUGUGUUGUCGGAGGGUGUAACAACACUGACAGGGAGGGAUUCAAGUUGCACCACUGGCCCAAAGAUGCAAAAGUGGCAAGAAAUUGGACGAAAUUUGUUCAAAAUACGAGGGUGUGGGGAAAGCCAACGAAAUGGUCAGUCGUUUGUUCCGCACACUUUACCGACGAAAUCUAUGCUACUACAGAGAUGGCAAGAUUGUGUGGAUAUCCUGCGACACUCAAAGCAGAUGCAUUUCCAACAAUAAAGUCAAAGAAAUCUGCCGCCAGACCCCCAUUGAAUUUGCCGGAGUGUCUGCACAUUUUACCGGCGGUGCUAAGGCAGACAUGGCACAGAGACGUGUGGAUAACCUGCGACACUCAAAGCAAAUGCAUUUUCAACGAUAAAGUCAACGAAAUCACAAAGAUGGCAGAGUAACUGUCUCUGGUGCCUUGCUGGUGAGCCUGGACCUGCUGUCUCAGCUUACUCUGCACGCGCUCGUCACAGCCUUGCACCAGGUGGUCCCCUCGCUGAUUCAAGCCUGCCAAGCGAUCCUCAAAGCCUGCUAUCUCCUCCAUGAUGGCCUGUGGAGGACAAAGAGACAAAGAAAAAAAAAAGAUGUCAGGCUGGUCAAUGACACAGAAGCUGCUUUGUGGCCUCCUCCAGACUUCGGCUCAUGCUGGGGUCAGGGGUCACCAUCCUGCUGGACAUCUGUAGCAGCCAUCGCUCCGCCUCCUGUAGCUCGUGGUGGUAUACUUCCUGCUCCUUGACCUGGCCCUCGACAUGCUCCACGCGGGCCUAAACGUCACAACAUAACGUGUCACAGAUGACCAUGAGGACAACAGGUACAUGUUUUCUUACCAUGGCCAUAUUACACAGGUCACUGUAGUCUUUUUGCAGUCUAUUCAUUUUGUCUCUGACUGAGGGGUAAUGAACUGAUGCCAACAGAGUGUCACCCUUCUCCAACACUGACCUGAUGGAAGCAUCAUGGGACUGGACCAUCUGUAACAGAGUCUGGGUGGGAGGAAUAAAAAUAUUUGUUAUACCCUCUCUUGUGCAGCUUAUCAUCAGCAUCCUUGAGCGUGAUGCUUAUCUAUCUAUUCUUACACCCGUACACCCGAUUUAAAUAAAGAAAAAAAAAAACCUUGUGCUUGGCGAACUGCGCCCUUCGUUGGUAUAAUUCGGCUUUGGGCUCCAGUGGAGAACUGAGCAAAGAUUUGGUCUCCCCUAGCCACUGGGCCUGAGCCUUGUAGCGGUCCUGGAACUCCUUAGCCAGCAGAAAUGCGCAC